rnacentral:rRNA from 1 species
AGCCAUGCAUGUGUAAGUACAAACCUCUGUGAAGGUGAAACUGCGAAUGGCUCAUUACAACAGCUAUGAUUUACUAGAUCGUACUUUACUACUUGGAUAACUGUGGUAAUUCUAGAGCUAAUACAUGCAGCAGAGCUCCGACCCCUCGGGGAACGAGCGCUUUUAUUAGACCAAGACCAAUCGGGCCUCGUGCCCGUUCUCUGUGGCGACUCUGUGUAACUUUGGGCUGAUCGCACGGGCUUGUCCCGGCGACGCAUCUUUCAAGUGUCUGCCUUAUCAACUGUCGAUGGUAGGUUAUGUGCCUACCAUGGUCGUAACGGGUAACGGGGAAUCAGGGUUCGAUUCCGGAGAGGGAGCCUGAGAAACGGCUACCACAUCCAAGGAAGGCAGCAGGCGCGUAAAUUACCCACUCCCGACUCGGGGAGGUAGUGACGAAAAAUAACAAUACGGGACUCUUAUGAGACCCCGUAAUUGGAAUGAGUACACUCUAAAUCCUUUAACGAGGAUCUAUUAGAGGGCCAGUCUGGUGCCAGCAGCUGCGGUAAUUCCAGCUCUAAUAGCGUAUAUUAAAGUUGUUGCGGUUAAAAAGCUCGUAGUUGGAUCUCAGUUCCAGACGGGCGGUCUACCUUUUGGUGGCUACUGUCCGGCCUGAACAACUAGCCGGUUUCCCUAGAUGAUCUUCACCGGUUGUCUUUGGUGACCGACACGUUUACUUUGAAAAAAUUAGAGUGCUCAAAGCAGGCGCGACGCCUGAAUAAUGGUGCAUGGAAUAAUGGAAUAGGACCUCGGUUCUAUUUUGUUGGUUUUAGGAACACGAGGUAAUGAUUAAGAGGGACAGACGGGGGCAUUCGUAUUGCGACGCUAG